rnacentral:rRNA from 1 species
AUGGUCGCCGCCCCCUCCCCCGCCCUAACCGCCGCGGACGCGAGGCAGGCCGCGGCGAGGAAGAAGGAGGACGACGACGAGGAGGUCGUCUGCUUCAUCUGCUUCGACGGUGGAGACCUCGUCGUCUGCGAUUGGAGGUGCGACGCCGCAGUGCGCGACUUCUUCCUGAUUGCAGUCAGUGCCGCCGCCGUCUCCAAGCUGCAGAGUCCCGUUCCUUUCCGCCCGUGCGUUUCCUCAGCUUGCCACACGUGCUGCCAUCUGAAAAAGCAUUUUAUGCUGCUGUAUCUUCCCUUGGCAUCUACAGCAAAGAUGUUUACGAUGGAAAGGGGCUAUUUAGCGCCGCUUGUGUUUGGUGGAUGUUUCGUGCUUAUGGACAUGACAAAGUCUGGGUUUUGGAUGGAGGUUUGCCCCAGUGGCGUGCUUCUGGGUAUGGCGUGGAAUCAAGUGCCUCCAGCGAUGCUAUCUUAA